rnacentral:miRNA from 1 species
CUGAAAAGACGAAAGGGGUUUU